rnacentral:rRNA from 1 species
UACGGGGGGGGCAAGCGUUUGUUCGGAAUUAUUGGGCGUAAAGGGCGCGUAGGCGGCCAUUCAAGUGACGGGUGAAAGCCCUCGGCUUAACCGAGGAACUGCCUGUCAGACUGGAUGGCUUGAGACCGGGAGAGGUGAGUGGAAUUCCCAGUGUAGCGGUGAAAUGCGUAGAUAUUGGGAGGAACACCAGUGGCGAAGGCGGCUCACUGGACCGGAACUGACGCUGAGGCGCGAAAGCGUGGGGAGCAACAGGG